rnacentral:rRNA from 1 species
GACGAACGCUGGCGGCGUGCCUAAUACAUGCAAGUCGAACGCAGUGGGGACGGGUGAGUAACACGUGGGUAACCUCCCAUCAGAGGGGAUAACACUUGGAAACAGGUGCUCAACCGGUAUUGAUGGAUGGACGCGUGGUGCAUUAGCUAGUUGGUGAGGUAAAGGCUCACCAAGGCCACGAUGCAUAGCCGACCUGAGAGGGUGAUCGGCCACACUGGGACUGAGACACGGCCCAGACUCCUACGGGAGGCAGCAGUAGGGAAUCUUCGGCAAUGGACGAAAGUCUGACCGAGCAAUGCCGCGUGUGUGAAGAAGGUUUUCGGAUCGUAAAGCUCUGUUGUUAGAGAAGCGGUAUCUAACCAGAAAGCCACGGCUAACUACGUGCCAGCAGCCGCGGUAAUAC